rnacentral:lncRNA from 1 species
CUGCCAUGGCGGGUGGGUGAAAGACCCGAGCUAACAUGGGGUUAGUUCGUUAAAUUACAAUAAAGCCUCGUGCAGUUUGCAGCAAGCUCUCGAAUCCGCCUGGUGAUUGGGGUGACCGCGAACCUGGCCUGAGACCCCGGAUACUUGAGUUUUCGGGGGUCUAACAUUUUGGGGGCUCGUCCUGGAUUUGCGACCAUCCUUCACCUGAGUGGAUUCGAUCUUGGAGCACAUGGCACGGGAAAGGAGUUCUGCCAUGUGUCACGGGUUAGAAUGUGUUAUGUUGGAGUCCCCCGAUGCUGCUUUUCUGAACUCGAACCACUGCUGCAGCCCUUACAGCUGAGCCUGGCCCAUGUAGUUUAUAAUGUCAGACAGACCGCCAGAUCCGGACAGUGACCCAAAGUCUCCAAAGAAGAUUACGAGGCACCUCAGUUCCUGCACCUGGACCAGUGAGCGAGAUGCUCAGAUGUGAAACCUGCCGCCUGCCAGAACCUGGCCGAGACUGGACAAAGCUACUGGACACUGGAAAAUUGAUU